rnacentral:rRNA from 1 species
UAGCCAGACUCCUACGGGAGGCAGCAGUGGGGAAUAUUGCACAAUGGGGGAAACCCUGAUGCAGCGACGCCGCGUGAGCGAUGAAGUAUUUCGGUAUGUAAAGCUCUAUCAGCAGGGAAGAAAAUGACGGUACCUGACUAAGAAGCCCCGGCUAACUACGUGCCAGCAGCCGCGGUAAUACGUAGGGGGCAAGCGUUAUCCGGAUUUACUGGGUGUAAAGGGAGCGUAGACGGCUGUGCAAGCCAGAUGUGAAAGCCCGGGGCUCAACCCCGGGACUGCAUUUGGAACUGUGUGGCUGGAGUGUCGGAGAGGCAGGCGGAAUUCCUAGUGUAGCGGUGAAAUGCGUAGAUAUUAGGAGGAACACCAGUGGCGAAGGCGGCGUACUGGACAGUAACUGACGUUGAGGCUCGAAAGCGUGGGGAGCAAACAGGAUUAGAUACCCCCGUAUUC